rnacentral:misc_RNA from 1 species
GUCAUGUUGAUGGCAUGGUCAGGGAACAACAUUCAAAAUCCCUGAAUUUCAUGUAGACAAUACCAGUAAUGUAAAAGGAACAAAAGGAAAAGGAUGUCUGUUUUAAUGUACAAACUUGAAUAAACAAUGCCCGACUCUGACACAGAUAAGGGUUAAAUAAGCUCUCAAAAAAAUUGUAUCCCAGUUGAAUUGAACUAUUUACUGGCUUUACAGUAUCAGAUCACGUUUGUUGCAAGAAAAUAAAAAAGAAUAGAACCCAACAUCACAUCAACUCUUGAGCUGAUGUCCUUAUUUAUGUCUGCACAAAACUCUAGGCAAUUCUGUCAUGUAUAAUUUUACCUUUUGCAAAUUUUGCUUGUGAAGAAACUUGGAACACCUAUUGCAAUCAAAUCAAAAUGUUAUAGUGGGAGAUUAAGUUUCCAGUGUCUGAUCCUCUUUUGGUACCACAGUUUCUUGCAGGUUAAUCUGGCCUAAUAAGGAAAUUAAAGAUGGAG